CAGCUCGUCUAGCGUGGGUCCGUGGACAGCAGUCUGCACUGGAUAGGCAAAGCAGCCAGACGUACUCGGGAGUAGGAUUCGUUCGUAUCGCAGUUCAUAAAUCAGCCAAAAAAUGGAUGAUACAGACUUCCGUGAUGUAGACCCGAACGAGGUUUGGCUGGAGAAGGUGACCAUUGGGGGGUUUCGCGUUUGGCACAUAAUAGCCGCUGUCCUGGGAAUACUAAUGGGAAUCAUGAUUAUGGUCUGCUGUUGCAUCCGAUUUCGAAUACCGCGCACCAAGCAGGAGAUCGAGGCGGACUAUCAGCGCAAGCAAAUCACUAAGAAGUUCCGCGAGAAGCUCCAGCAAAUUAAGAACUCGGAAAUGGACGACAUGGACCUACAGAAGGCACUUGCUUACAUCAAACUGGAACAGUACGAUGAUCCCUAAGGGCUUGUAAAUUCACUAGCACACUGUACAAACAAUUGGAAGUACCCAAGAACUAACCUCUGUAUCCCAAAGAACACUGCCAAUUUUGUGCUCGCAUCCAAAGCGAUUUCCUGAAUCUCCAGGCGAGCGUGGAGAGCAUGAACGAGAAG